AGCUCCAAUAGCGUAUAUUAAAGUUGUUGCAGUUAAAAAGCUCGUAGUUGAACUUCAGGCCUGGCGGGGUGGUCCGCCUCACGGUGUGUACUGGCCGGCUGGGCCUUACCUCUUGGUGAGCCCGUAUGCCGUUUACUCGGUGUGCGGGGGAACCAGGAAUUUUACUUUGAAAAAAUUAGAGUGUUCAAAGCAGGCAUAUGCCCGAAUACAUUAGCAUGGAAUAAUAGAAUAGGACGUGCGGUUCUAUUU
rnacentral:rRNA from 1 species